rnacentral:rRNA from 1 species
GACUAACGCUGGCGGCGCGCUUAACACAUGCAAGUCGAACGGAAAGGCCUGCUUUCCCUUGUGGAUUGCGGGUACUCGAGUGGCGAACGGGUGAGUAACACGUGAGUGAUCUGCCCCCAACUUGGGUAUAAGCCUGGGAAACUGGGUCUAAUUCCCGAUAGGACUGCAGGGUGGUGCCUGUGGUGGAAAACGAUUUUCUAGUGGUUGGGGAUGAGCUCGCGGCCUAUCAGCUUGUUGGUGGGGUAAUGGCCUACCAAGGCGGCGACGGGUAGCCGGCCUGAGAGGGUGGACGGCCACAUUGGGACUGAGAUACGGCCCAGACUCCUACGGGAGGCAGCAGUGGGGAAUAUUGCACAAUGGGCGGAAGCCUGAUGCAGCGACGCCGCGUGGGGGAUGACGGCCUUCGGGUUGUAAACUCCUUUCGACCGCGAGGAAGCCACCUGGUUGGAAGGGUGGUGACGGUAGUGGUAGAAGAAGCACCGGCUAACUACGUG